UUGGGGCCAAACACAACCAUUUAUUUCUCAUUUGUAACGACAUAGAGAAGAUUAGCAUGGAUCAUACACAAGGAUGAUACCUUUAUUUGUUUCCAUUCAUUU